GACGAACGCUGGCGGCGUGCUUAACACAUGCAAGUCGUACGGUAAGGCCCUUUCGGGGGUACACGAGUGGCGAACGGGUGAGUAACACGUACGUAACCUGCCCACAACUUUGGGAUAACGCUAGGAAACUGGUGCUAAUACUGGCUAUGUGCUCCUGCUGCAUGGUGGGGGUUGGUAAGCUCCGGCGGUUGUGGAUGGACUCGCGGCCUAUCAGCUUGUUGGUGGGGUAGUGGCCUACCAAGGCGGCGACGGGUAGCCGGCCUGAGAGGGUGACCGGCCACAUUGGGAAUGAGAUAAGGCCCAGACUCCUAAGGGAGGCAGCAGGGGGGAAUAUUGCACAAUGGGCGCAAGCCUGAUGCAGCAACGCCGCGUGCGGGAUGACGGCCUUCGGGGUGUAAACCGCUUUCAGCAGGGAAGAAGCUGUUUGUGACGGUACCUGCAGAAGAAGCACCGGCUAACUACGUG
rnacentral:rRNA from 1 species